AGUGAACGCUGGCGGUAGGCCUAACACAUGCAAGUCGAACGGCAGCACAGGAGAGCUUGCUCUCUGGGUGGCGAGUGGCGGACGGGUGAGGAAUACAUCGGAAUCUACCUUUUCGUGGGGGAUAACGUAGGGAAACUUACGCUGAUACCGCAUACGACCUACGGGUGAAAGUGGGGGACCGCAAGGCCUCACGCGAUUAGAUGAGCCGAUGUCCGAUUAGCUAGUUGGCGGGGUAAUGGCCCACCAAGGCGACGAUCGGUAGCUGGUCUGAGAGGAUGAUCAGCCACACUGGAACUGAGGCACGGUCCAGACUCCUACGGGAGGCAGCAGUGGGGAACAUUGGACAAUGGGCGCAAGCCUGAUCCAGCCAUACCGCGUGGGUGAAGAAGGCCUUCGGGUUGUAAAGCCCUUUUGUUGGGAAAGAAAUCCUGUCGAUUAAUACUCGGUGGGGAUGACGGUACCCAAAGAAUAAGCACCGGCUAACUUCGUGCCAGCCGCCGCGGUAAAAC
rnacentral:rRNA from 1 species